ensembl:lncRNA
AUUCUUUUCAUUUGUGUGUAGCUUUAUAAUGUAUUAUUUAUUUAUUCAUAUGACCUUAUACACAAGUUUAAGAAACAAAUAUUCUGUGGGAUGGGCCUGGCUCAGAAGCAGGGAAGAAGCCCUGUCAGAAGUGGGGGCAGCUAGGCUGUCACUCUUUCUUCAUUUAGGCCAGCAUCUGAUCACAUCCUCUGUCACUCAAAGUCUGACAGGGCGGGGAUUUAAGCAUUAUCCAACCAGGGACGCUGGGCUGGAAACUGUCCAAUCAGGCAUGCAGCUGGAGAGGACUGGAUGACUUCCGGCUUUGGCGGGGUUUUUGUCUGUAGCUGUAGCUGGAGGUCCAGGUUUCCUCCUCACUGCUCUCUGUCUUCUGGUCCUGGGGGCCUAGCCUCUGUGGCCCUGUGACCUGCAGAUAUUGGGACAUCUACAGCUAAGACGCCAGUACCCCCUGGAAGCCUAGAAAUGGAUGACUUGAGGUAUGGAAUGUGUCCUCUCAAGGGAGCAAGUGGAUGCCCUGGGGCUGAAAGGAAUCUUCUGGUGUACUCUUAUUUUGAGAAGGUAACCCCUGGAGACAUUAAAAUUGUCCUCACCCAACCCAGCUUUCAUUUCUUGGAGACACAUUGCUGGGCAGCCAAUCAGAUGCUGGUAUUGAGGGGAAAACACAAAAAUAAUUUCUGCUCCCUGGAUUAUCUAAGGGGGCAGAAAAAUAGUGAAAUAAAUAUAAAGAAAAAUACUGGGAAAAAAAAGUGAAAAUUUUGUUACCAAAAAGUAUUCCAAAAGACCAGUAACAACAGAAUUGACCCCAGUGACAUGGUGUAAGAGCUUGCAAAGUAAAAUGCACCUGGGGCAGUCACUGGGGCGUAAUGCAGUGUCUUCUGAGUGGGUGGUUCUUGAGCACGUAAGUGAGCAGGAGUGGGUGGAAGAAUCUCUCCAGUGAUUGAAUGACCUGACUUGAAACACGAGCCCAUGUGAAAUUUUAUUUAGACCACUGAAGAGACAUGUAGCUGAUCUCCCCCACCCCCUGCCAUAAGACAGAGUCUCAUUCUUUGGCCGGGCUGAAGUGCAGUGACAUGAUCUCGGCUCACUGCAACCUGUGAAUCCCAGGUUCAAACGGUUCUCUUGCCUCAGCCUCCCAAGUAGCUGGGAGUACAGGCACGUGCCACCAAGUCCAGCUAAUUUUUGUGUUUUUAGUAGAGACGGGGUUUCACUAUAUUAGCCAGGAUGGUCUCAAUCUUCUUGUGAUCUGCCCACCUCUGUCUCCCAAAGUGCUGGGAUUACAGGCGUGAGCUACCACACCCAGGCUUAGCCAAUUUUUUUUCAUAAGGAAAAGAAGAAAAAAUAUGUGCAGAGAUUUUACCGAAAAGGCCCAAACCAAACCCCAAAAGAGGAUCCUUGGAUUUCACUCAAGAAUCAAGAUGAGUCCAUAAAGUGAAAGCAAGUUUAUUAAUAAGAAAUAAAAGAAUGGGUUACUCUAUAGGCAGAGCAGCCCUGAGGACUGCUGGUUGCCUGUUUUUAUGGUUAUUUCUUGAUUAUUUGCUAAUCAAGCGGUGGAGUAUAUAUGCCUCCCCAUUUUAGACCCUAAAGGGUAAUUUCCUGAUGUUUCCAUGGCAUUUGUGAACUGUCAUGGCACUGGUGGGAGUGUAGCAGUGAGGAUGACCAGAGGUCACACUCACCACCAUCUUGGUUUUGGUGGGUUUUAUCCCACUUCUUUACUGCAAGUUGUUUUAUCAGCCAGGUCUUUAUGAGCUGUAUUUUGUGCUGACUUUCUAUCUCAUCCUGUGACUUAGAAUGCCUAACCAUCUGGGAAUGCAGACCAGUAGAUGUCAGCCCUAUUUUACCCAGGCCCUAUUCAAAAUGCAUUUGCUCUGGUUCAAUAUGCCUCUGACAUCAUCCCCCCCCCCUUUUUUUUUUUAAACAAGGAAACCCUUAACCCUAAGGGUUGUAGGGGGACGAAGAUCAAUCUUCUGCUACUACUUCAUGCUGAAUAGAAGUGAUGAUAUUCUUGCCUAACUAUUAGGGUCUUCUGUAUUUGAGGUAGAGAGGAGCUCAAUCAGAAAGCAUCAGUAUGAUGAGGGCCAUUCCUAACUCUGAGUUCCAACAAUAGGUGAUAUCUGGAAGAUUAAUAAGUGUUCACUUCAAGAAAACACCCAGGAAGUUUAUUCUGCAUUUCUACACAAGGAGUACAAUGGCAAUAUAUCAAUAUAUUCACAGUAAAACAAAAUAAGCAAAAUUAUUCCAAGUAAACUUAAGAAAGCUUUUCAUGAACUGGGCAUUUGUUGGAGCAAAGCUGUUAUGAAGUUGGUGGCUGAUUGUAAUGUAUUCAGAAUUCAAACAGUGAUCCAGAUUUUUACAUUACCCAUCCCUCUUGCUUGUUUCUUCUGAGCUGUAGCCAGAGAUUACUGGUUUGUUCACAGAAAUUAGUAAGGUUAGCUAAAAUUGUAGAAAAAAACUCAAAAACAACUGAUGAGAAUAGAAUCUAAUAAAAAGUGUACCAUAGUAUUUGAAAUAUAAUUUCUUUCCAGUUUCCCAUUUUUAUUAAAGAUGAAUUAUAAUAGGGCCAAUUUAUUUGUAAAAUAAGUUUUAGUCUUAUACUUGGCCUGAUUAUUUCUUUUCACGUAGGCCUUUUAAAUUGGCUUUGAUGGAACCUUGUUUUAUAAAAGGAAUCUCAGAUAAGAAUUUUUUUUUAUUUACCAAAAGCCAGGAACCUGGUACAGGGCCUGUGUAGACAAGGUAUGAUACCAGUUUUCCCAUGGAGCUUUUAUUGGUUCUACAAGUCAAGUUUAGUUCAUUAACGCAUAACAUGUCAUUCUAGUCAAAGCCUUGGUAAAAUAACAAGUUUCUCUAAUUGUGUCCUGUUGUAAAAGAAAACAGUUUCUUAUUGCACUUAUAUAAAUAAGUAAAUUGUCAUACGUUCAGAAUACUCACACAUAUUUUCCAAAUUUUUUUUUUUUUUUUUUUGAGACGGAGUCUCGCUCUGUCGCCCAGGCUGGAGUGCAGUGGCGCGAUCUCGGCUCACUGCAAGCUCCGCCUCCCGGGCUUACGCCAUUCUCCUGCCUCAGCCUCCCGAGUAGCUGGGACUACAGGCGCCUGCCACCUCACCCGGCUAGUUUUUUGUAUUUUUUAGUAGAGACGGGGUUUCACCGUGUUAGCCAGGAUGGUCUUGAUCUCCUGACCUCGUGAUCCGCCUGUCUCGGCCUCCCAAAGUGCUGGGAUUACAGGCUUGAGCCACCGCGCCCGGCCUACAAAUCAUCUUUUGAAGAGGAUUGACACAAGAUGAUUGUCCGGAUGGCCAAGUUUUAGGGC